CUGGUCUUCGCGCUUGCGCAUGCGCGGUUUCUCGAUUCUAUUGAGUCUUCUGCUCAAGAGCAGCGGCUAGCCUGUGUAUACUUGCGGUUCGAGAGAACUUCUUUUCUUUCUCUUUUUUGUUUCCUCUUUUUUUUCUUUUGGAGGGAAUUUUAAUUGUGCCACUGAAUAUAUAGGUCGAUUCAAACAGAGCUACGGAAACCAGAAGAGACGAAGAUACUUUCGAGAAAGUUGGAUUUGAUCAAGGACAAAAUAUGCUUUUUCCGUUGUCUUCUUCUUAUAUCGUUGCAUAAAAUUUGUGUUUUCUCUAGAAAAUCUCUAGAAUCGUUUAAUUUUUGACAAAUAAUUUCUUAAUAAUCGUACUUUUACCGAUUUUCUCGGAUGUUGACGGAUUUUUUGUGAGGUUAGAAUCGUAAUGUCGAUGAAAAGAAAAUUGUAUAUUUUUAUUCAUGUUUGCCGAAGUUCGAUCGUUGCUUGAAUCCGCGACGCAGAAAACGCAUGCUUACGCAACGAUCGCUCACUUAUUUAAUAAAACAAAGUUACGACUAGUAUCGAGCAGUAAUAGCACGCUCCGGGGAAUGCUACUGUUGUUCACCCGUCCAAUGGCGAGAGAAGUUGACACAGCCGCUCGUUUAUCCACCAGGCGUGAACGAGUCUACCACGUGUAUGCAAAAGUUCUCUAUGCAGGAGUCCUUGCAUAGUACGCAUCGAGAACCAGAACACCUCAAAGGCUAAUAAUCUAUGCGUAGUGGACAGUUACGAGCCGGUGUUAUUCGAGCCGUACCUUUCGGUUUUAACCUAUGUUAAUCCAACAUUUGGCCCUCGACUAACGGUCACACGUUGACUUAGGUCUGGUGUCUAACGAGGCCAACCUUAUGUCCAUAAGUUGUUAUUUUAUAAGAUAUAUUUCUGUUCACGAAUUAUGGAUUAGAUAAUAAAUUUUAUAAGAAGUUGUAAGUUUAUGUUACAGCUAUGAAAGGCAAUGUUUACUGGCUGUUAAUAUUAUAAGGAAAAUUGAUUAUGAUUAUACUAUUGUUGUUACUAAAAUAGAUAUGAAUAUACUCAUUGAAAAAUCUGAAAGCAGAAGACUCAAGUGGUUAGUAGAAACUCUAGUCCAAGGAGAAUGAUGAUAUGCGAUCACGCAACCGCGAAUACUCUCGUUCGCCCACAAGGUACUAACUGCGCGGCGAGUUAAAGCGGAAGUAGCGUUGAAAGGACGCGUUCGAUUCGCGUACGCCCACCACGACUAUCCGUACCAUAGGAGAGGACAAAAUUUAGAACCAUUCAAAAACGCUUUAAGGCUUUCACGACUCGAGUUGAUACGAUCAUUUUAACCUCAAACUUCCUAUAUUGCGCCAUUAUUAAAAUUAGAGGUCAAAACACAUUUGUGCAACUAAAAUCCUACAUUGAUCUUUCAAAAAUGUUAUAUGUUAUCAACAUUUAUAAUUCAAUCAAUAAAAAUAUGUCAAUUUCGAUAAAUAUUCUUUUUCGAUCGAGAUUCGAAGUUGUAGUCCGAAUCACACUCGAAAAUGAAACGAGAAACACGGAUCUCGCGAGAUAAACGUCUAUCGAUUUAAAAUCGAGGACAUGAUUCCGAGCGCAUAAAUUUGACGGAGACACGCCGCGGUUCGAUUCACGAAGCAGGUGUAGCUCGGUCUAGGAUUCAAUCUCUGCCAAUGCCCUCCCUCUACCAUCCCACUUUCUACUUUCACGUCUGUUCGAUAUACACAAUAUCUGCAUAAUACACGGUUUGGCGAAUGCGCAUCGAGGAGGAUUCGACGUGAUCCUUGGUCGUGAAGGAGAGGAGAGGACGAUAAAAAGAAGGUGUUCCAGGAAACGCGACCGAUGCUCUGCUGCAUUCACAAACAUUUCUCUAUCCUUGCUCUGAGGCCGCCGAUCACGAGAGAGCCGUCUGAUCCUUUCUCGUUCCUUCCAGCCGAUGGCCCCUCUACGGGGUGACCCGAUCUCUCGAGCGCCGCGACGAACAGGUUAAAGUAGCUCCCGAGGCGUGUGUACGUAAGUAAGCAAGUACUUAUGUACGUACGAGCAGCCUACCACUCGGCCUACCAGCCGUAUUAUUACGUGUCGCUUUGCGGACCUUACGGCUCCCGUGUGCGCGCAUGUAACAGGUUCCAGCCGCGUGCAAUGGUCGUCGGCAAACUGCUCGCGGAAAGAAUCGGAAAGAAAUGACUUACGCACGAGUUAAUUCGAAUCGAAUAACGUCCAAUUUUGAGAAAAUUGACAUUGAAGAAAAUUUUGA